GGUAUGCCAUUGAUCAGCAUCAGCAGGCCAUAAGUCUAACAUGGAAACAUCAAUAUAAACUCAACUUAUUUGUCUUGCACCGCAUCACCACAAAGGACGUUUUCUAUUGUCUUAUGCUUUUCUUAAUUAAUUUCCUGUCUUAGGGUUUCGCGUCAAGUAGCAGUGGUAGAUACAAUAACAAUGAUCCCUGCAAUACAAUCUCCCAUACGUUCAUACUCCCAACACAGAGAGAGAGAGAGAGAGAGAGAGAGAGAUGGCUCCAGCAGAGGAAACCAGUAAAUUCUGUGAAGCAUAUCCAAUGAAAGGUGGAGAUGGACCCAACAGCUAUGCCAACAACUCCACUUACCAGAGAGGAGUUGUGGAUGCUGCCAAAGAACUUCUGAGUAAGGCAAUUGCAGAAAAGCUUGAUAUAGACAUCUUGUUAUCUUCCAACAGCUUUCAAAUUGCAGAUUUAGGUUGCUCUGUUGGGCCAAAUACAUUUUUUGCGGUUGAAAACAUAGUUGAAGCUGCGAAAUUCAAGUUUCAAAGCCAAGGGCAGGAUUCUCAAGUUCCUGAAUUUCAAGUCUUCUUUAAUGAUCAUACCCCAAAUGAUUUUAACAUGCUCUUCAAAUCCCUCCCUCAGAAUAGGCGAUACUCGCAGUCGGUGUGCCUGGUUCUUUCUAUGGUCGCAUAUUUCCUAAUGCUUCCAUGCACUUUGUUCACUCGUCUUCUGCAAUUCAAUGGCUUUCAAGCGUACCAAAAGUAGUAGUGGACAAAACCUCACCUGCUUGGAAUAAAGGACGAAUCCAUUACCUAAAUUCCCCAGAAGAAGUAGCAAGGGCUUAUGAAGCUCAAUAUACAGAGGACAUGGAGUGCUUCCUGCAUGCCAGGGCUCAAGAGAUUGUGUAUGGAGGAUUGAUGGUACUUACUGUUCCGGGCCGCCCCAAUGGUAGUUCUCAUUCUCAUUCUUCAAUAAAUAUGAGCUUUCAACUUUUAGGAUCUGCCCUCAUGGACUUGGCUAGGAAGGGCGGUGUUAGCGAAGAGAAAGUAGAUUCAUUUAACAUACCAAUCUAUUGCAUGUCCCCCCAAGAACUGGAAGCUGCUGUAGAACGAAAUGGAAGUUUUAGCAUAGAGAGUAUGGAAAACUUACCUCAUGUCUCGGUAGAUGACACUGUCUCAAAAUCUCAACUAUUUGCAGCUCACAUGAGAGCUGGCAUGGAGGGGCUCGUCAAGCAGACAUUUGGAGAAGAAAUCUUAGAUGAGCUCUUUGACUUGUUUGGUAAGAAACUUGAAGAGCCACCCUUCAUCUUUGAGACAGGGAAGACAAUUAACUUUCUCUGUGUGCUUAGGCGCAAGGGAAAUGGAUUUGAACAUGCUGUUUAGAAUUUCCUUUAUCCUGUUUUUAUGUUUGUUUCCGUAAGUGAUAUAUAAGUUGCUGCAAUAUAAGUUUGUAAGGCACUUAUAAUAAGCAAGAGAGAGAUACACUCUUUGCCUGAGAGACAGUGCUUGUAAUUUGUACAAAACCGAUGGCCUAAUAAUUAAUCUUGUCAUGUAGUUCAUGACAACU